CUGGGAUAAGUGGUGAAGCCACCGCUCCAUGGGGACCGAGCGCGGUCGCAACUAAACCCCGGUACAAGCGGUCUUCAGGGCUAGUUGGGCGACAGGGGGAGGGAGACACACAACCCCAGGCCACGAGACUCAGUAUAGUAAACAGGUUUAUUCGGGGAGAAAUCGCUUACACGCGAUGCAGAUGACCGCUGCAAGUCCCUGCUCCAAGGAUCAACACCGGCUGCCCUCCGACCGAAAGCAAGAGAGAGCGAGCCUGUCCUGGACCCCAGACCAAAUAUCACACGCUCUCGAAUGCACCUGCGACCACUUGGGCGUGGUCAGCGCCACAGAUGAGGCUGAGUGGACCUCUCCUACAAAGGCCUGUGUGACUGAUGCCCAUUGGACCUGAUCCUGUGGCCAACUUGCGCCCUGUCCAGAUGAUAUCACACCGGAAAGAGCAGAGGAUGGCGCAACCAAACCACCUAGCUUCAGGGAUGAGGUCGGCAGAAGAUGAGGGCACAGGAGGACCGCCGGCCAGGCACACCCCUCACACUGAAUCGCCAAGGAAGUGCCAAGCUAGAAUCUCCAGAAUUAUCCCUCUCAGAAACGUGGCGCUCAAAGAG
rnacentral:lncRNA from 1 species